GAAACCCCCCCAGCGUCAGCAACAUGAGUCUGUGGCUGAGCCUCGCUUUCUUCCUAGCGGCCCUUCCGGGUGCCCGGUCCCAGGUCCAGCUGGUGGAGUCCGGAGGAGGGAUUCAAACCCCCGGGGGAUCUCUCCGCCUCGCCUGCCAAGCCUCCGGAUUCACCUUCAGCAGCUACUUCAUGGACUGGGUCCGCCAGGCUCCGGGGAAAGGGCUGGAGUGGGUCGCACAGAUCCGCAAUCCUGCUUCUAGCUCAGCAGCAUAUUACAGUGAUGCGGUUAAAGGGCGAUUCACCAUCUCCAGGGACGAGUCCCGCAGCUCGGUGUAUCUGCAGAUGAACAGCCUGAGAGCGGAGGACACCGCCCGGUAUUACUGUGCGAGAGACACAGCGAUAUGAAAUCCACUGCGCUUAGCACAAAAACCUCCAGCGCGAAGCCCCCUCCCUCUCGGUGCCCCCAGCCACUGCCUGCACAGAGCGGAACUCGGAGUGUAAAGUCCCCAGUC